GACGAACGCUGGCGGCGUGCCUAAUACAUGCAAGUUGAGCGCUGAAGGUUGGUACUUGUACCAACUGGAUGAGCAGCGAACGGGUGAGUAACGCGUGGGGAAUCUGCCUUUGAGCGGGGGACAACAUUUGGAAACGAAUGCUAAUACCGCAUAAAAACUUUAAACACAAGUUUUAAGUUUGAAAGAUGCAAUUGCAUCACUCAAAGAUGAUCCCGCGUUGCAUUAGCUAGUUGGUGAGGUAAAGGCUCACCAAGGCGAUGAUACGUAGCCGACCUGAGAGGGUGAUCGGCCACAUUGGGACUGAGACACGGCCCAAACUCCUACGGGAGGCAGCAGUAGGGAAUCUUCGGCAAUGGACGAAAGUCUGACCGAGCAACGCCGCGUGAGUGAAGAAGGUUUUCGGAUCGUAAAACUCUGUUGGUAGAGAAGAACGUUGGUGAGAGUGGAAAGCUCAUCAAGUGACGGUAACUACCCAGAAAGGGACGGCUAACUACGUG
rnacentral:rRNA from 1 species